CCUACGGGUGACAGCAGUGAGGAAUAUUGGUCAAUGGACGAGAGUCUGAACCAGCCAAGUAGCGUGAAGGAUGACUGCCCUAUGGGUUGUAAACUUCUUUUAUAAAGGAAUAAAACGAGGCACGUGUGCCUUUUUGCAUGUACUUUAUGAAUAAGGAUCGGCUAACUCCGUGCCAGCAGCCGCGGUAAUACGGAGGAUCCGAGCGUUAUCCGGAUUUAUUGGGUUUAAAGGGAGCGUAGAUGGGUUGUUAAGUCAGUUGUGAAAGUUUGCGGCUCAACCGUAAAAUUGCAAUUGAUACUGGCAGUCGUGAGUACAGUUGAGGUAGGCGGAAUUCGUGGUGUAGCGGUGAAAUGCUUAGAUAUCACGAAGAACUCCGAUUGCGAAGGCAGCUUACUAAACUGCCACUGACAUUGAUGCUCGAAAGUGUGGGUAUCAAACAGGAUUAGAUACCCCUGUAGUC
rnacentral:rRNA from 1 species